CGGCGACGAACACUUCAGCUUGUUUGGUGGUAUAUAUCUUCAGUUAGGGUUAGGUUAGGGAUUUUGAAGUUUUCGAGUGUUGUGGGGGAUAGUUGAUUGAAGCAUAUUGUAGAAAUGGAUGAUGAGAUUCAGAAAACGCAAGAGGAGAGGAAGAAGAUGGAGCAACAGCUCGCUUCUAUGAAUACGGUGACUUUUGAUACUGAAUUCUAUAGUUCGAAUAAAUUUGAGGGUUAUGAGAAAUCUAUUCCGGUGAAUGAUGAUGAUGAUACUUUUGAUACGGAGAAUGAGGUUGCUAGAAAGAUGGCGUCUUUCACUGCGCCAAAACAGUUUUUUAAGGAGGUUCCACGGGGUGCAGGGGAAGAGGAUGAGCCCAGUGGGUUUAAUAAGCCGAGUAAGAUUAUUGAUAGGGAGGAUGAUUAUAGGAGGAGGAGGUUGAAUAGGGUCAUUUCUCCUGAGAGGAAUGAUCCUUUUUUGGAUAAGACUCCUGGGCCGGAAGUGAGGACUUAUGCGGAUGUUAUGAGGGAGGAGGCCUUGAAAAGGCAGAAGGAAGAGUUGAUGAAGGAGAUUGCGAAGAAGAAGAAGGAAGAACAGGAAAAAGCAGCAGAUAAGAAGGAGGAGGUUGAGAAGCCAGCUCAGAAGAGGAGGAAUAGGUGGGACCAAUCGCAGGAUGAGGGUGGUGCGAAGAAGGCGAAAGCUGGUUCAGAUUGGGACCAGCCGGACUCGACACCUGGGAUUGGAAGGUGGGAUGCAACUCCCACCCCCGGCAGGGUCGGUGAUGCAACACCCUCUGUCAAGAAGAAUAGAUGGGAUGAGACACCUACACCUGGUAGGGUUGCUGAUUCUGAUGCUACCCCUGCUGGUGGUGCUACUCCAGGUGCAACCCCAGCUGGUAUGUCUUGGGAUGCUACACCAAAGCUUGCAGGUCUUGCUACCCCCACGCCUAAAAGACAGAGGUCAAGAUGGGAUGAGACUCCAGCGACUAUGGGAAGUGCAACUCCCAUGUCAGGUGCUACCCCGGCAGCAGCUUAUACACCGGGUGUUACUCCUGUUGGGGGUGUUGAACUAGCUACACCAACCCCUGGUGCCAUUAAUUUGCGUGGCCCGGUUACUCCUGAACAAUACAAUUUGAUGAGGUGGGAGAAGGACAUUGAAGAGAGAAAUCGACCCUUAACUGAUGAGGAGCUUGACUCUAUGUUUCCUCAGGAAGGUUAUAAGAUUUUGGAUCCUCCAGCGUCCUAUGUUCCCAUUAGAACACCUGCCAGGAAGCUUCUUGCCACACCAACUCCUAUAGGGACUCCUCUGUAUGCUAUUCCAGAGGAAAAUCGGGGUCAACAGUUUGAUGUACCAAAAGAAAUGCCAGGUGGUUUGCCAUUUAUGAAGCCCGAGGAUUACCAAUAUUUUGGUUCUUUGUUGAAUGAGGAAGAUGAAGAGGAGUUGUCUCCCGAUGAACAGAAGGAGCGAAAAAUUAUGAAGCUUUUGCUCAAGGUUAAAAAUGGGACUCCACCUCAGAGGAAAACUGCUUUGAGACAGCUCACUGAUAAGGCCAGAGAAUUUGGUGCUGGGCCCUUAUUCAAUCGGAUUCUGCCAUUGCUCAUGCAGCCUACACUGGAAGACCAAGAAAGGCAUUUGCUUGUUAAGGUUAUUGACAGGGUACUGUAUAAGUUGGAUGAAUUGGUUCGCCCAUAUGUCCACAAGAUUCUUGUCGUGAUUGAACCUCUGUUGAUUGAUGAAGAUUAUUAUGCUCGUGUCGAAGGGAGGGAAAUCAUAUCUAAUCUUAGUAAGGCAGCUGGUUUGGCGACUAUGAUUGCUGCCAUGCGUCCAGAUAUUGACAACAUUGAUGAAUAUGUCAGGAACACAACUGCUCGAGCUUUCAGCGUUGUUGCAUCUGCGCUUGGUAUUCCUGCUCUGCUGCCAUUCUUGAAAGCAGUUUGUCAGAGUAAGAAAUCUUGGCAGGCUCGUCAUACAGGUAUUAAGAUUGUUCAGCAGAUUGCUAUUCUUAUUGGUUGUGCUGUUCUUCCACAUUUGAGGUCUCUGGUGGAAAUUAUUGAACAUGGUCUUAAUGAUGAGAACCAGAAGGUUAGGACCAUUACAGCUCUUUCUCUGGCUGCUCUUGCUGAAGCUGCUG
rnacentral:misc_RNA from 1 species